rnacentral:lncRNA from 10 species
CGGAGCCAGGGCUGAGAUCCCGAAGGCGGGCGAGGUCUGGGAUGGGGCGGGGCCUAUGGGAGCGGGGCUGAAGCCCUGGGCCCGGCAGAGGAAGGUCGAGAUGGACCAUGUUGGGCCCCUUCUCUCCCCGCCCCCAGGCCGCAGUUCGGGGGCCACGCCCCGGCGUGCUCGGGUCACCGCGGGAAGCCCUUGAACCCCCUGGCGCCCGGCACCCACGUGCGGUAACCGCGGCUCCUCGAGAGCUCCAGGGAUGCGGAUCUACAGGUCCAUUCAAGAAUUGUGCCCACAAUAUACCAGGCACUUGUCCAGACCUGCAUCGUCCAAUGCCCACCUCGACCUCCCAAAGUGUUGGGAUUAGAGGCGUGAGCCACCGCGCCCUGCCUGCAUGUGGCUAUUGAGAUGUGCUGUAUGAUACACACCGGACUUUGAAGACUCAGUGUGAAAAAUAAAAAGAAUUUUAAGAGGGGUGGGGGUCGAGGGGAGGCAGAGCAGUAGGACAAAUAGCUAAUGCACGCAGGGCUUAAAACCUAGACAACAGGUUGAUGGGUGCAGCAAACCACCAUGACACAUGUUUAUCUAUAUAGCACCUACAUGUUCUGCACUUGUAUCCUGGAACUUAAAAUUAGAAAAAAAAAAUAAUAAAAGCCAACAUGGCAUUCAUUACUGCCAAAAAAAUUAAAACACAUUGUUAAUUUUGUAUAUUGAUUACAGGUUGAACUGAUAAUAUUUUGAAUAUAUUGGGUUAAAG